rnacentral:rRNA from 1 species
UCCUCGCACUAAGGAUGGUACUCGUUCCGAUUAUGUUCUUGACGGGGUAUCGUCCCACCAAGCUUUUAAUCGUUACAGGUUGUGGGAUCAAGAUCCCGAAGUUAUUCAGGAGACAUGAAUCCAGCCCUGGCGGGCCACAUCAGCGAGCGGCAUUCCGUUCGCAAUUGCGAGUCAAUCGUGUAUUAAGCGUAUCCACUGCAAGUGCCCGUGUUCAGAAUGACUAGUGUCUGUUUAAAUAAUAAUCCGAAAUGUAUCAUGUGGCAAGAACACGGGACACAUGCAUAGACCCGGUUGACCAGCCGCGCCGUCUGUGAAUAGACCGGCUCAGCUUCGAAGUGGGUGGGCCACAGACGUACCUUGGGUUUUGAACGCCUUACGGUAUGCUUGAGGCUGAUUAGUGUGCUCCUCGAGGAAAGUAUGUCGCUGUCUACGACAUAGAACAGGCAUUUCUAAGGAUGACUAUCCAGCAGGUCUUGGCGAAACUGUGUAGGAGUUAAAAUCCGUAACUUUCGGGGAGUACGGAGUGGAAAUACUGGUAAUUCUGUAGACGGGACGACCAUAUGCACGAAGGACAGUUUAACCCAGAACAGCUUCGACAGUGAGGGACGUUAAGUCUGGGCGGAUGCUCACGGGAUUAGAUAACCCCGGUAGUCCCAGCCGUAACAAUGUGCGUUAGGUGUGUCGGUAACCACGUGUUACUGAUGCGCCGAAGAGAAAUCGUGAAACGCACCACCUGGGAAGUACGGUCGCAAGGGGAAACUCAAAGGAAUUGACGG